rnacentral:lncRNA from 1 species
AAAUUGAAGAAGGGGAGCAACUUCAAAGUCAGGGAACCGGAGCCUUCUUGGUCACCCUCUGCCUCAGCCUUUAAAUCCGACAGCCUUUGGUUGGAGUCCCAGUCCCAGGAGAAGAAAGUUCACCGCAAACUGUGAAGCUGAGCACCCCAUUUCUCCAAGCUAUAAACAGC